AUUGAACGCUGGCGGCAGGCUUAACACAUGCAAGUCGAGCGAGCGGCGGACGGGUGAGUAAUGUCUGGGAAACUGCCUGAUGGAGGGGGAUAACUCCUGGAAACGGUAGCUAAUACCGCAUACCAUCAGAUGUGCCCAGAUGGGUUUAGCUAGUAGGUGGGGUAAGGGCUCACCUAGGCUACGAUCCCUAGCUGGUCUGAGAGGAUGACGAGCCACACUGACAGUGAGACACGGUCCAGACUCCUACGGGGGGCAGCAGUGGGGAAUAUUGCACUAGGGGCGCAAGCCUGAUGCAGCCAUGCCGCGUGUGUGAAGAAGGCCUUCGGGUUGUAAAGCUCUUUCAGCGAGGAGGCGUUACGCGCAGAAGAAGCACCGGAUAACUCCGUGCCAGCAGCCGCGGUAAU
rnacentral:rRNA from 1 species